AGAGAACGCUGGCGGUAGGCCUAACACAUGCAAGUCGAACGGCAGCACAGUAAGGGCUUGCUCUUACGGGUGGCGAGUGGCGGACGGGUGAGGAAUACAUCGGAAUCUACUUUUUCGUGGGGGAUAACGUAGGGAAACUUACGCUAAUACCGCAUACGACCUACGGGUGAAAGCAGGGGAUCUUCGGACCUUGCGCGAUUGAAUGAGCCGAUGUCGGAUUAGCUAGUUGGCGGGGUAAAGGCCCACCAAGGCGACGAUCCGUAGCUGGUCUGAGAGGAUGAUCAGCCACACUGGAACUGAGACACGGUCCAGACUCCUACGGGAGGCAGCAGUGGGGAAUAUUGGACAAUGGGCGCAAGCCUGAUCCAGCCAUACCGCGUGGGUGAAGAAGGCCUUCGGGUUGUAAAGCCCUUUUGUUGGGAAAGAAAAGCAGCAGGUUAAUACCCCGCUGUUCUGACGGUACCCAAAGAAUAAGCACCGGCUAACUUCGUG
rnacentral:rRNA from 1 species